ACCGUGUACGUACAAGCAGUGGGAGCACGCUUAGGCGUGUGACUGCGUACCUUUUGUAUAAUGGGUCAGCGACUUAUAUUCUGUAGCAAGGUUAACCGAAUAGGGGAGCCGAAGGGAAACCGAGUCUUAACUGGGCGUUAAGUUGCAGGGUAUAGACCCGAAACCCGGUGAUCUAGCCAUGGGCAGGUUGAAGGUUGGGUAACACUAACUGGAGGACCGAACCGACUAAUGUUGAAAAAUUAGCGGAUGACUUGUGGCUGGGGGUGAAAGGCCAAUCAAACCGGGAGAUAGCUGGUUCUCCCCGAAAGCUAUUUAGGUAGCGCCUCGUGAAUUCAUCUCCGGGGGUAGAGCACUGUUUCGGCA
rnacentral:rRNA from 1 species